rnacentral:lncRNA from 1 species
UCCGAUCUUAAAAAUGUUCCGCCGCUACAAAAAGGUUGAGAACCACUGGUGUAGAGCAUUACUGGCAGCGGUGGAGAACGGUUUGGUCAUGUGGUUUGGUCUUGUUGGUUCAUUGCAAAGCGUAUAUUCAAAGAUUCAAACCAAAGCGUAUAUAAGUUCAAACGGUUCAAACACAUAAUUUUCGAGAUUAAUUACAACUGUAGUAUACCAUAAUGCCUUCAAAACAUUACCAAUAUAAUGGCUGUACGAAUAAUUCAACUUCUGGCAAGCGACUUUAUCGUUUUCCGAAAGAAGAAUCAAGAUGCCGGCAAUGGGUUAAAGCAGCCAAAAAUCCUCGUCUGCUUGAUCUAUCAUUUGAUUUGAAAUACUUCAGAGAAAAAUUAAAAGCAAGUGGUAAAGCUGCACUGGAAGCUGCAUAUAAUUAUAAAUGAGUAGUU